rnacentral:rRNA from 1 species
AUUGAACGCUGGCGGCAGGCCUAACACAUGCAAGUCGAACGGUAACAGGAAGAAGCUUGCUUCUUUGCUGACGAGUGGCGGACGGGUGAGUAAUGUCUGGGAAACUGCCUGAUGGAGGGGGAUAACUACUGGAAACGGUAGCUAAUACCGCAUAACGUCGCAAGACCAAAGAGGUGGACCUUCGGGCCUCUUGCCAUCGGAUGUGCCCAGAUGGGAUUAGCUAGUAGGUGGGGUAACGGCUCACCUAGGCGACGAUCCCUAGCUGGUCUGAGAGGAUGACCAGCCACACUGGAACUGAGACACGGUCCAGACUCCUACGGGAGGCAGCAGUGGGGAAUAUUGCACAAUGGGCGCAAGCCUGAUGCAGCCAUGCCGCGUGUAUGAAGAAGGCCUUCGGGUUGUAAAGUACUUUAAGCGGGGAGGAAGGGAGUAAAGUUAAUACCUUUGCUCAUUGGCGUUACCAGCAGAAGAAGCACCGGCUAACUCCGUG